AUAACAUGAUAAUCUCAAUUAAAACUGAGGGACAUUUAUAAAACCAACAACCUCAUUCUCAAGUUUAAUUGAAUUUGAGAGAGAUUAAUUCUAAAAUUCUAAAAUUAACUGUCAGGCAAAAUCGCAUUAGCCUUAAAAAAAAUUCAAACUGACGAUCCAUUUAAUCAAGCUACUCAGAAGGUUACAAACAUUGUGAAUUAAAGCCUUGGGGUUCACAGACUUUAUAAUCUUGUGCUACAGAGAAAUUAGAAUCAUUUUAUUAUGUAUAUCAAUUGUGUUUCUAAAAAUGGAUUCAUAUUUAUUUUCAAGCAUUUUCCUUUCUACAACUACUUGACAAAGUUUUAGGAAAGGGAAGAGAACUCACAUUAUUGAGAAUAUGAAGCCAUUUCAUUUGUACCUUUUACGGAAGGUAAAAGGAAUGAGACGGGAAAUAUUUGUUGUAGUUAAUUUUAUUUUAAAAUUUGAUUAUUUAGUAAUAAAAAAAAAAAAGUAUCAAAAUGAAGCCUCUUAAAAUUUAAUAUUUUAAAUUUUUUUAAGUUGUUUUUGGUUUAUAAGAAAAAAUAAAAAAAAUGUGACAAAUAUUCUCGUAUAACUUUCAAGACAGAAAAAACGUAAACUAAAACAAUCAAACUCAGAGUGCUAUCUACUCCUAUAACCAAUCAUGCGCUUUCAAUACACGUAGUCAAAUGAUAAAUGCCAUGUUUGUUUGGGAGAUUGCAUUUGACGGAUUAGAAAUUUAGUCGGAUUUAAGAUUGGAUAAAAAAUUUAGUUGAACUAAGUCAGAUUAUCAAUCAUGUAAAAUCUCAAUAUGCACUUGUUUUACAAUGGAUACGAUUGUUGAAUUAAAUAUUUUUUUUAUGUUUUUUAUGAUUGCUCUCACAUCAUAAUUUUUAACUAAAUAAAAAAAAUCAAGUACUUCAUAAAGAAAUAAAAAAAUACAAUCCUUAACUAGGCAUUUAUAUCAUUAACUAACAACAAUAAUAACAUUCAAAUAAAAAUACCAUAUAAUUCUCAAUUGUUAUAAGUUACAAAACUAGAUAUCUUUAUAUGCUACUAGAGGGAGUAAUUAUAAAAUAGAAUAUACCAGCCGAAUAAGAAUUCUCACUAACAAGCAAAAUUAAGCAUCAAACAAGCAACUUAUAAGGCACAAAAGACUUUACACUCAUAAAUAUUAUAUAAUAGCGUCUUAAUUUAACAACAUUAUAUUGUUGUAUUUAUUUAUGAGUAUUUUAGUAAUUUUAUGGCUAAUUCAUACCACCUGAAUUUGUAAUAAUGGAGGAGUAUUAUUAUAAAUUCAACUAAUUUGAUAGAUUAUAAAUUUAUCGGAUUACAUAUCUAACCUGAGUCAACAAACACCAUAUUAUUGAGAUCACAUAAUUUGUAUUCUAAUUCAAUAUUCUUAUCUUUAAAACAAAUAUGGCCAAAACAGAUUUGGUGACGGAAGACUCAAACCUAAUUUUUUCUUAUCUCGAUUCUCACCAUGUUGGUAAGGAACCAGUUUUAUUUCCUUUAAAAUCUUUUAGGGUUUUUUUCUAUCUUAAUUACAUCUUCUUCGAAAAAUACAUAAAAGACCAAAAUGACCUAGAAAGAAAUACCUAAAAGGGCUGGUUCCAACCUUGUGUUCACUCUCUCUCUCUCAGGAGGAAUCAAAUCAAAGAGAAAUGGUUAGGUACAAGUUUGACACUAUAGGGGUACUUUUGUAACUUCAAUAAACAGUGGGCCGAUAAAUUGGAAUAUUUUGAUAGAUUAUUAAAAUCGCCCAACAACCGGUUUCCAGCCAAUGAAUUACGCACGCGUUUCGCAUGAGGCUCGGGAGAUCUAAACGCUCGGUCCCCAACCUAACCACGUUUCCGAGCCUAGGCAGAGUUGUGGGACCCAAUGCCGACGACGUUAAGUUAUUAUGCUCCUGACGUAACGAGAUUUACAUUAUUUACUGAUACGGGACAGAAGUUUUUGAUAUUUAUAGAUGGUCCCUCAGUUCUUUGAUAUUUAUAAUUCGUAAUUAAUACUAUAAAAGGUCCAUAAUUAUUAUGGACGAUCCCUUAGCCAAUAAGAUUCUGCGUUUAGCGAACAUAAUUUUAUACCUUUUCUUUUCUCUUAACGAGAGGAAUUAGAAUAUGUAAAGGUUUUUAUUUAAUUUGGAAAAUAAAAUAGUUUAUUGAACAAAUAAGCUAAUUUGUUUGUCAGAUUUUUUUUUUUAAAUUUGAAUAAAUUUUUUAUACUUUUAUAUUUCUCUCUUCAAGAGAAAUAAAUAAAAUAUAAAAUUUUAAUUAAAUGAUAAAAAACUCACUAAAAGACAAAAAAACUCAAAAAUCAAAACAAUUAAAAGUAAAAUAAAUAAAUAAAUAGAAAUGUCAAAUUUAAAGAUUCAAAAAGUGUGUAAAAUAUCACACAUUGUUUUUUUUAGUAAAAAUUGGUUUGUUUAUGAGUUUUUUUUAAUUGAAUUUUUUUCACUAGAUGAGUCAGAAAAUGUAAAAAAAACAUUUAAUUUUCAAAAAGAGUUCACUAAAAAUAAAAAAAAUAACAAAUUGAAUAAUUUUUUUUGUCUUUAGUUGUUUUUUCCUCAAAUUUGAAUAAAACUUUUAUAUUUUCAGAUUCCUCACGUCAAAAGGAACUGACAAUGUAUAAAACUUUGAUCCAACGGUGAUUUUUUUUUUUAAAAACGAAAAAAAAAUCUAAAAUCAAAACAAAUAAGAAAAGACAACUAAAAAAAAGCCUUGGCCAAAGCGAGCCUUAAUAAAAUUCUUAAAAGGGUAUGCCAAUCAAUCUCUUCCUAGCAUUUUAAAGACAGGAAAACUAUACAUAUAGAUACCACUUACCAGAGCUGAUGAUGUUUCCAGAACUAAAACACAGAAAAAUAUAACAAAUCCCUAAUUCAAUCUUUUCCACGGUCACAAGUAAGGGCGGACCGAGAAGGCACGGUCAUGGGUGACCGCUAUUCCAAUAUUUUGAAAAAAAUUGUAUUAUAAAAAUAGUAUUCGUCCAAAAAUUUUAAAAUUAUAGAGAUUCGCUACAGCAAAUAAUUUUUUUAUAUAUACUUGCUUUCUCCAUGUUGUAAUUCUGUGUCCAUCACUAGUCAUGAGCAACAAAACACAAUGGACAAGAACACAUUCAUUAUUAUUUAUGUUUUCUUUUUUCCAUUUUCAAAACACAAAAGCCUAGUUUGGCUAAAUAUUUCCAAAAGCUCUUUCCGAAAAAAUCAAUCUACCCUUUUAAGAAACACCAAAGUUGAAAUUUCGGAAGUAUAUUUCACACAAAAUCAAAACAAACUUUAGAUGAAGUACGUUGUGAACUUACAAAUUGUUUUUGUAUUUCCAAAAACACGAAAAUGAUGUGAAACAACAGAAUCUAAACUGAAGCAACCACGGUGUCUGCCCAUGUAUGCAGACUUGACUUUAUUCUGAACUGGCUAUUGGCAUGAAGGAAAAGCCCAGGCUGUUCGAUGCACAGAGCUACCGUUUACACGGAUGAGUCGCCAGCCACAAAUCACAAAAUAAAAGACAUGGCAACACAAUUAAAGAACCAGAAAAAAAUAGGCAGAUCACCAAUGUAAUCAGUUCAAACAUAAGUAACUUACAACCAUACCGCCGAUAGCAGGGGUAGGGUUUAGUUGUAGUUCCCGCAUCUAUCAUGAAAGAGAAACAUACUGAUUAUAGGGAGUAUCUUGAGAAGCUUAUAGGAGAGAAAGAAAGAGCAAAAGACAUUCGCCAGACUACUGCCGAGACACGGAAGGUUUGUUUGGACAAUCAGGCUGCUUCCUCCUCCUGUAAGUCUACUUCAUCAUCACCGGUCAUCGGGUGAUCAAAAAAAGGAAGGAAGAGGAAGUGGGAUUCUAGAAGAAAUCAGUCAAUCACAUGCUUAACUCAAUAGCAAAAUGUAACUCAGAUUGAAUAACAGAGAUCACCUCAAGAUUCAAGUAAGAUCAAUUCUCCUUCUUCUCUUUCCAAUAAAACCUGAAAAGAAAAAAAAAUGGUUAGUCUAUGAAACUAACUCAAAUAAGAAGAAUGUGGGUGCAUACUGACCAGUGACCACCACCAUCACCAACCACCACCGACCAUUGCCACCAACCAUCGUUACUCAUCGCGCUAUUGCUGUUGCUAAGAAUUUUCAUAGUUUCGCAACUAAAGAAUUUCAUACUUGACAGUGCACCCCCCAUCAAGCUUGAAAGAAUUAUUGAUCUACGACUAUUUAAUGAAAAAUACGUUAGAAAAUUUCACUACAACAAAAAUGAUUUUGUCUCCAAAAAGCCUUAUUCGUCAUUAACAUACUUAGUGACAAAAAUGUUUCAUCGCCUAUUUCGCGCUUUAUCUUUGUCGUCGAAAAUGUCCCUCAAUGAAAAAGUUUUUUCGUCGCUUUAUUAACUUUUUAGCCAUAAGAAAUAAUUUCCUCGUCUAAUAUAACCAUUUAGCGACAAAAUAUUCGUCACCCACAUAACAUAAUUUCCUCAGCUUAGAUCACGUUUUGUCGCUAAAUAUUUUUAAAAAAAAUUAAUUACAUUUUUUUUUGUAAAAUAUUAGGCGAUAGAACAUUUCUUCGAUAAAAUAGAACAACGUCAAUGAAUAAUUUCUUAAGGCAACUGCUGAAGCAAAAACCAACUAAAUAUUUCCUCGUUAAACUUUCGACAAAUGUAACAAAGUUACGAAAUAGUUUCAUCACUAAAGUCAGUUUGGUGAACCAAAAUGCGACGAAAUAUUUUCAUGCUAAAUGUCUUUUUCCGCAAUAAAUGACUAUAAAAUAUUUCGUCGUUAAAAUUAUCUUUACAAAAAUAUUCUAAUAUUUUUUUUCUCAAAAUAUCCGUGCGUAUUAAAUAUAAUAUCAAAUACAUCACAAACCAUACGGCAACCUGCUCACUUGUUGAAAACAAUACAAUCAUUAAUUGCAAAACAAGCCCAUAUAUUCAUUGAUUACAAAUAAACGACAACAAAAAAAAUACAAUGCACAGUGAACUAAACUAAACUAUACUAAAAUAAAGCAAAAAUGUCUAUAGUAAAACUAAGACA
rnacentral:lncRNA from 1 species